rnacentral:misc_RNA from 1 species
GGAUAAGGAAAGAAGGAAUCCCCAUAGCAUCUGAUAAAUCUUCUAUACUGAUCACUAAAGGUUUUGCACAUAAUGUCAUUAUUGCAAUCCCCAACAGAACUUGAAGCACAGAUUUGUUAAAUGUCCAUGUCAACAACUUAUAGUUGAUCUCUCCAUCACUUUCCACCUCAUACACUAUUUUGUCAACUUCACUCCACUUAAUCUUGUCAUAUUCAUCAAUUGCCCUUUUCUUGUCAGGACAUUUAGUCACACUAAUGGCCUCAUUCAGC